GAUGAACGCUAGCGGCAGGCCUAACACAUGCAAGUCGAGGGGUAGAACACUUCGGUGUUUGAGACCGGCGCACGGGUGCGUAACGCGUAUGCAAUCUACCUUGUACAGGGGAAUAGCCCAGAGAAAUCUGGAUUAAUGCCCCAUAGUAUAUAACCUUCGCAUGUUGGUUAUAUUAAAGUUCCAACGGUACAAGACGAGCAUGCGUCCCAUUAGUUAGUUGGUAAGGUAACGGCUUACCAAGACGAUGAUGGGUAGGGGUCCUGAGAGGGAGAUCCCCCACACUGGUACUGAGACACGGACCAGACUCCUACGGGAGGCAGCAGUGAGGAAUAUUGGUCAAUGGGCGCAAGCCUGAACCAGCCAUGCCGCGUGCAGGAAGACGGUCCUAUGGAUUGUAAACUGCUUUUAUACAGGAAGAAACCCUCCCACGUGUGGGAGAUUGACGGUACUGUAGGAAUAAGGAUCGGCUAACUCCGUGCCAGCCGCCGCAGUAACAC
rnacentral:rRNA from 1 species